GUGCCAGCAGCCGCGGUAAUACGGAGGAGGCAAGCGUUAUCCGGAAUUAUUGGGCGUAAAGCGUCCGCAGGUGGCAAUUCAAGUCUGUGGUUAAAGACUGGGGCUUAACCCUGGAAAGGCCAUGGAAACUGAAUAGCUAGAGUGCAGUAGGGGUAGAGGGAAUUCCCGGUGUAGCGGUGAAAUGCGUAGAGCUCGGGAAGAACAUCGGUGGCGAAAGCGCUCUGCUGGACUGCAACUGACACUCAGGGACGAAAGCUAGGGGAGCGAAUGGGAUUAGAUACCCCAGUAGUCC
rnacentral:rRNA from 1 species